rnacentral:tRNA from 1 species
GGAGAGGUGGCAGAGCGGUUGAAUGCACCGGUCUUGAAAACCGGCAAUGGAGCGAUCCAUUCGUGGGUUCAAAUCCCACCCUCUCCG